rnacentral:rRNA from 1 species
AGAGUUUGAUCCUGGCUCAGAUUGAACGCUGGCGGCGUGCUUAACACAUGCAAGUCGUGCGAGAAAGGGGGCUUCGGUCCCUGAGUAGAGCGGCGCACGGGUGAGUAACGCGUGGAUUAUCUCCCUCAUUGUUUGGGAUAACGGCGGGAAACUGCCGCUAAUACCGGAUACGCUCCAAUUUCGGUUGGGGGAAAGGCGGCCUCUGCUUGCAAGCUGUCGCAAUGAGAUGAGUCCGCGUCCCAUUAGCUUGUUGGUGGGGUAAUGGCCCACCAAGGCAACGAUGGGUAGCUGGUCUGAGAGGAUGAUCAGCCACACUGGAACUGAAACACGGUCCAGACUCCUACGGGAGGCAGCAGUGGGGAAUAUUGCGCAAUGGGGGAAACCCUGACGCAGCGACGCCGUGUGAGGGAAGAAGGCUUUCGGGUCGUAAACCUCUGUCAGGAAGGAAGAACCUCUCAAGGCUGAACAAGCCUUGGGACUGACGGUACUUCCAGAGGAAGCACCGGCUAACUCCGUGCCAGCAGCCGCGGUAAUACGGAGGGUGCAAGCGUUAAUCGGAAUCACUGGGCGUAAAGCGCGCGUAGGCCGUCUUUUAAGGUCGGACGUGAAAGCCCUCGGCUCAACCGGGGAACUGCGUUCGAUACUGGGAGACUUGAGUCCUGGAGAGGGUGGCGGAAUUCCGGGUGUAGGAGUGAAAUCCGUAGAUAUCCGGAGGAACACCGGGUGGCGAA